rnacentral:rRNA from 1 species
UACGGAGGGUGCGAGCGUUAAUCGGAAUUACUGGGCGUAAAGCGCACGCAGGCGGUUUGCUAAGCUAGAUGUGAAAGCCCCGGGCUCAACCUGGGAUGGUCAUUUAGAACUGGCUGACUAGAGUCUUGGAGAGGGGAGUGGAAUUCCAGGUGUAGCGGUGAAAUGCGUAGAUAUCUGGAGGAACAUCAGUGGCGAAGGCGACUCCCUGGCUAAAGACUGACGCUCAUGUGCGAAAGUGUGGGUAGCGAACAGG